CUAGGUGAAUUGCCUACCACGGCUAACGAGCUCCACCUGCCCGGGUUUGUUGUUCGGAGUUUGCUCUCCUAGGUGAAUUGCCUACCACGGCUAACGAGCUCCACCUGCCCGGGUUUGUUGUUCGGAGUUUGCUCUCCUAGGUGAAUUGCCUACCACGGCUAACGACCUCCACCUGCCCGGGUUUGUUGUUCGGAGUUUGCUCUCCUAGGUGAAUUGCCUACCACGGCUAACGAGCUCCACCUGCCCGGGUUUGUUGUUCGGAGUUUGCUCUCCUAGGUGAAUUGCCUACCACGGCUAACGAGCUCCACCUGCCCGGGUUUGUUGUUCGGAGUUUGCUCUCCUAGGUGAAUUGCCUACCACGGCUAACGAGCUCCACCUGCCCGGGUUUGUUUAGAGUUUGCUCUCCUAGGUGAAUUGCCUACCACGGCUAACGAGCUCCACCUGCCCGGGUUUGUUUAGAGUUUGCUCUCCUAGGUGAACUGCCUACCACGGCUAACGAGCUCCACCUGCCCGGGUUUGUUGUUCGGAGUUUGCUCUCCUAGGUGAAUUGCCUACCACGGCUAACGAGCUCCACCUGCCCGGGUUUGUUGUUCGGAGUUUGCUCUCCUAGGUGAAUUGCCUACCACGGCUAACGAGCUCCACCUGCCCGGGUUUGUUUAGAGUUUGCUCUCCUAGGUGAACUGCCUACCACGGCUAACGAGCUCCACCUGCCCGGGUUUGUUGUUCGGAGUUUGCUCUCCUAGGUGAAUUGCCUACCACGGCUAACGAGCUCCACCUGCCCGGGUUUGUUGUUCGGAGUUUGCUCUCCUAGGUGAAUUGCCUACCACGGCUAACGAGCUCCACCUGCCCGGGUUUGUUUAGAGUUUGCUCUCCUAGGUGAACUGCCUACCACGGCUAACGAGCUCCACCUGCCCGGGUUUGUUGUUCGGAGUUUGCUCUCCUAGGUGAACUGCCUACCACGGCUAACGAGCUCCACCUGCCCGGGUUUGUUGUUCGGAGUUUGCUCUCCUAGGUGAACUGCCUACCACGGCUAACGACCUCCACCUGCCCGGGUUUGUUUAGAGUUUGCUCUCCUAGGUGAACUGCCUACCACGGCUAACGACCUCCACCUGCCCGGGUUUGUUUAGAGUUUGCUCUCCUAGGUGAACUGCCUACCACGGCUAACGAGCUCCACCUGCCCGGGUUUGUUUAGAGUUUGCUCUCCUAGGUGAAUUGCCUACCACGGCUAACGACCUCCACCUGCCCGGGUUUGUUUAGAGUUUGCUCUCCUAGGCAGAUUGCCUACCACGGCUAACGAGCCCCACCUGCCCGGUUUGUUGUUCGAAGUUUGCCCUCUU